GGACAGAAAGACCCUAUGAACCUUUACUACAGCUUGACAGUGGCAUUUGUAAGAAUUUGUGUAGGAUAGGCGGGAGACUUUGAAGCGUGGGCGCCAGCUCACGUGGAGUCGUCCUUGAAAUACCGCCCUUGUUCUUAUGGAUGUCUAACCGCGGCCCGUUAUCCGGGUCCGGAACAUUGUCUGGUGGGUAGUUUGACUGGGGCGGUCGCCUCCCAAAGAGUAACGGAGGCGCGCGAUGGUUGGCUCAGACCGGUCGGAAAUCGGUCGUUGAGUGCAAUGGCAUAAGCCAGCCUGACUGCGAGAGUGACAACUCGAGCAGAGACGAAAGUCGGUCAUAGUGAUCCGGUGGUCCCGCGUGGAAGGGCCAUCGCUCAACGGAUAAAAGGUACUCUAGGGAUAACAGGCUGA
rnacentral:rRNA from 2 species